AGAGUCGCUAUUAUCGAUCUGUCGCAGAUAACUAGAGUCGCUCCCAGCCAGUAGACAUGCCUCCGCCGUCGUGUUGCGCCAAUUGCUGCGGGACUAGCGAACCUUGUACAGCCAACUGUAAAUGCAGCUCUUCCUGCAAUUGUACAAAGUGUCCAUGUGGCAGCAAAGAUUCGUCAGGUAACAAGUGAGCUGGAGGCACUGCACGCAGAACGGGGUGUAACGGCAUGGUUUUUGCCUUCGUCAUGGAUGAUGACCGCCUCUGCUCUGAUUAGAAACCUUGCAUUGCCUAUGUUUAAGAAAAAUAAAGUUUUUGAGAUGUAA